rnacentral:misc_RNA from 1 species
GAAACAAUGUGUAAAGGAUAUGAGCUUUUACCUGUUUUUAUACUCUGAAUUUGCCUGUUUUCGUAAUCAAGAUUGCUUCCGUUUUGUGAAAACUGACAACUAAGAUUUACUUCCAUUUUCAGAUCAAUGCUUUUAUGGUAUUAAUUGUGAUUUUAAAACCAGAAUCGUAAAUUUCUUCAUUCCAUUCUUGCUUUUCUUGGGAAUUCUUGCUGUUGGAC